CGUUUCUGCUGGGGGAGCCCGAAAGGGCUGAGAGUCCCGCCGAUCGCGGGAGACCCUUCGAACCUGAACCGGUUAGCACCGGCGUAGGAAAGCGGGAGCUCGACGCG
rnacentral:ncRNA from 1 species